GGCCUUGUACACACCGCCGUCACACCAUGGGAGUGGGUUGCAAAAGAAGUAGGUAGCUUAACCUUCGGGAGGGCGCUUACCACUUUGUGAUUCAUGACUGGGGUGAAGUCGUAACAAGG
rnacentral:rRNA from 1 species